UUANNANCUGCCAGUGAAGCGGGAAAAGCUCAAAUUUNNNAUCUGGCAGCGUUUGGUUGUCCGAGUNGUAACCUAGAGAANUGCANCCUGNGCUGGACCAUGUAUAANUCUCCUGGAACGGANUGUCACAGANGGUGANAAUCCCGUGUNUGACAUGGACUGCCAGUGCAUUGUGGCGUGCUCUCAAAGAGUCGAGUNGUUUGGGAAUGCANCUCUNAACCGGUGGUAAAUUCCNUGGGNAUCNNCCGGGGNUUNUNNCUUUGGGUGUAUUUCCUGGUUGACAGGUCAACAUCAGUUCUGACCAGUAGAAAAAGGGCAAGGAAAUGUGGCACCUUCGGGUGUGUUAUAGUCCUUGGUUGUAUCUGGUGGUUGGGACUGAGGGAUGCAGCACACCGUAAGGGCCGUGGCCAGGUCAUUCAAUGGGCUGGCGACGUUUGUGCUUAGGAUGUUGGCAUAAUGGCUUUAAGUGACCCGUCUUGAAACACGGACCAAGGAGUCUAACAUGCAUGCAAGUGUUUGGGUGGAAAACCCAAGUGCGGAAUGAAAGUGAAAGUUGAGAUCCCUGUCAUGGGGAGCAUCGACGCCCAGACCAGAACUUUUGGGACGGAUCUGCGGUAGAGCAUGUAUGUUGGGACCCGAAAGAUGGUGAACUAUGCCUGAAUAGGGUGAAGCCAGAGGAAACUCUGGUGGAGGCUCGUAGCGAUUCUGACGUGCAAAUCGAUCGUNGAAUUUGGGUAUAGGGC
rnacentral:rRNA from 1 species